rnacentral:rRNA from 1 species
CGUGCAUAACACAUUCAAGUCGAACGGAGUUAAAUUCAUUAAUCCUUCGGGAAGCGUGGAAAUAACUUAGUGGCGGACGGGUGAGUAACGCGUGAGCAACCUGCCUCUGUAUGAGGGAUAACGCCGGGAAACGGACGCUAAUACCUCAUGACACGUAGAGAACGCAUGUUUUUUACGUCAAAGAUUUAUUGUACAGAGAUGGGCUCGCGUCCGAUUAGAUAGUUGGUAAGGUAACGGCUUACCAAGUCUGCGAUCGGUAGCCGGACUGAGAGGUUGAACGGCCACAUUGGAACUGAGAUACGGUCCAGACUCCUACGGGAGGCAGCAGUGGGGAAUAUUGGGCAAUGGGCGAAAGCCUGACCCAGCGACGCCGCGUGAGGGAAGAAGGUCUUCGGAUUGUAAACCUUUGUUGACAGGGACGAAUAAAAUGACGGUACCUGUCGAGGAAGCCACUGCUAACUACGUGCCAGCCGCCGCUGUAAUAC